rnacentral:rRNA from 1 species
UACGGAGGGGGCUAGCGUUGUUCGGAAUUACUGGGCGUAAAGCGCACGUAGGCGGCUUUGUAAGUUAGAGGUGAAAGCCCGGGGCUCAACUCCGGAAUUGCCUUUAAAACUGCAUCGCUAGAAUUGUGGAGAGGUAAGUGGAAUUCCGAGUGUAGAGGUGAAAUUCGUAGAUAUUACGGAAAGAACACCAGUGGCGAAGGCGACUUACUGGACACAUAUUGACGCUGAGGUGCGAAAGCGUGGGGAGCAAACAGG